UACGUAGGGUGCAAGCGUUGUCCGGAAUUAUUGGGCGUAAAGAGCUCGUAGGUGGCCUGUCGCGUCGGCUGUGAAAACUCGGGGCUCAACUCCGAGCUUGCAGUCGAUACGGGCAGGCUAGAGUUCGGCAGGGGAGACUGGAAUUCCUGGUGUAGCGGUGAAAUGCGCAGAUAUCAGGAGGAACACCGGUGGCGAAGGCGGGUCUCUGGGCAGUAGCUGACACUGAGGCGCGACAGCGUGGGGAGCAAACAGG
rnacentral:rRNA from 1 species